rnacentral:ncRNA from 1 species
UAAAAACUUAAUUUUAAUUUUUAAAAUAAGUGAUUUUAUUAAGAGUACAUAUAUAAAUUUAUAUUUAAUUUAAAUAAUUAAAAUUUUAAUGUAUAAAUUUAUUAAAUAAAUAAAUUUAUUUUUAGGAAUAAAUAAAUUUCUAAUAAAAUUAGUGCCAGCAAUUGCGGUUAAACUAAUAGGAAACUUAUUUAAAGUUAAUUUGAUUAAUUUAUUUAAAAAAUUAAUUAAAAUUAAUAUUUUAUGGUUAAAUAUAUAAUAUUUAAAUUAAUUAUAUUAAGGAUAUUAUUUAAAUUUAAAAUUUUGUAAAAAACUAGGAUUAGAUACCCUAUUAUUAAAGUAAAAAAUAUAAUUAAAAUAUUAAAUGUUUAAGCAUUAAAUUUAAAAAAUUUGGCAGUAUUUUUAUAAAUAGAGGAAUUUGUUAAUUAAUUUGAUAAUCCACAAUUUUAUAGACUUAAUCUAUUAAUUUAUAUACUUCUGUAUAGAUAUUUUAUUAUAUGAAUAAAUCAAAAAAUUUAAAAUUUAAAAUUAUAAUACAAGUCAAAGCGUAAUUUAUGGUUAAGAUUAAAUGAAUUACUUUAUUAUUAUUAUUCUCUUUAUUGUAAAGAGGUAAAUAGAAUUUAUUAAUAAAAUAAAAUAAAUAUUUUAUUUGAAUUAUUAGUAAGAGUAGGUACAAAUCGCCCGUCAUUCUUGUAAUUUACAAGACAAGUCGUAACAAAGUAAAUAUACUGGAAAGUGUGUUUAGAAUUAA